rnacentral:misc_RNA from 1 species
GAUGAAGAACGUAGUGAAUUGCGAUAUGUAAUGUGAAUUGCAGAAUUCAGUGAAUCAUCGAAUCUUUGAACGCACAUUGCGCCCGCCAGUAUUCUGGCGGGCAUGCCUGUUCGAGCGUCAUUACAACCCUCAGGCCCCCGGGCCUGGCGUUGGGGAUCGGCAGAAGCCCCCUGUGGGCACACGCCGUCCCUCAAAUACAGUGGCGGUCCCGCCGCAGCUUCCAUUGCGUAGUAGCUAACACCUCGCAACUGGAGAGCGGCGCGGCCAUGCCGUAAAACACCCAACUUCUGAAUGUUGACCUCGAAUCAGGUAGGAAUACCCGCUGAACUUAAGCAUAUCAAUAAGCGGAGGA